GUGCUCACUUCAGCAGCCCAUAUGCUAAAACUGGAAGGAAACAAGAGUAACAUGGCCCCUGCACAAGGAUGACACGCAAAUUCGUGAAGCAUUCCCUAUUUUU
ensembl:snRNA U6 U6 spliceosomal RNA